AUGUACAUCACGCGACUUCGCUUAGCGCGUACGGCGGAUCAGCCCGCUCCCGGUAAAACGGGACGGCCCGCCAGAGGACCCCUAAAACUCUGUUUCUAUAUGUAACUUCUGAGUAAAACCAUAAAUAAAUCAAAACUUUCAACAACGGAUCUCUUGGUUCUGGCAUCGAUGAAGAACGCAGCAAAAUGCGAUAAGUAAUGUGAAUUGCAGAAUUCAGUGAAUCAUCGAAUCUUUGAACGCACAUUGCGCCCGCCAGUAUUCUGGCGGGCAUGCCUGUUCGAGCGUCAUUUCAACCCUCAAGCACAGCUUGGUGUUGGGACUCGCGUUAAUUCGCGUUCCUCAAAUUGAUUGGCGGUCACGUCGAGCUUCCAUAGCGUAGUAGUAAAACCCUCGUUACUGGUAAUCGUCGCGGCCACGCCGUUAAACCCCAACUUCUGAAUGUUGACCUCGGAUCAGGUAGGAAUACCCGCUGAACUUAAGCAUAU
rnacentral:rRNA from 1 species